rnacentral:ncRNA from 1 species
UUCGCGAGUAGAAGCGGUCAGGACAAGGCGUCCGGGACAUUGCUCGGCAA